rnacentral:lncRNA from 1 species
GGCGAGGUAUUGAAGAACAAAUAUGCACAAGAACAAGACAAAGUGGAGUUCCGAAAGAAACCAGGGGCAUCACAUGGAGAAGUAUUGCAGAGAGGGAGUAAAUUACUUGACAAAGGAUGCAGCUGGAGGCUCGGAAAUGGCUUGAAGAUAAGAUUUUGGAGGGACAACUGGCUUUUGCAGAGGCCUCUUGGGGAGGAAGCAAUCAAUUAAUUAAGAUAUACUACCAAGAUCGUGAGAAGAAGAAGAAAGUUAAUGUCUACUGGGAAC